CCUACGGGAGGCAGCAGUCGAGAAUCAUUCACAAUGGGGGAAACCCUGAUGGUGCGACGCCGCGUGGGGGAAUGAAGGUCUUCGGAUUGUAAACCCCUGUCAUGUGGGGGCAAAUUAAAAAGAUAGUACCACAAGACGAAGAGACGGCUAACUCUGUGCCACCAGCCGCGGUAAUACAGAGGUCUCAAGCGUUGUUCGGAAUCACUUGGCGUAAAGCGUGCGGGGGCUGUGUCGUAAGGCGGGUUGGAAAGGCGCGGGCUCAACCCGCGGACGGCACAUGAUACUGCCAGACUAGAGUGAUGGAGGGGGAACCGGAAUUCUCGGUGUAGCAGUGAAAUGCGUAGAUAUCGAGAGGAACACUCGUGGCGAAGGCGGGUUCCUGGACAUUAACUGACGCUGAGGCACGAAGGCGAGGGGAGCGAAAGGGAUUAGAUACCCUGGUAGUC
rnacentral:rRNA from 1 species